CACACACACACAUCAUCCAGCACACACACACAUCAUCCAGCACUCGCACACACAUCAUCCAGCACACACAUCAUCCAGCACUCACACACACAUCAUCCAGCACUCGCACACACAUCAUCCAGCACACACACACACAUCAUCCAGCACUCACACACACAUCAUCCAGCACUCACACACCCACAUCAUCCAGCACUCACACACACACCAGCCAGCACUCACACGCACAUCAUCCAGCACUCACACGCACAUCAUCCAGCACUCACACGCACAUCAUCCAGCACUCACACACACAUCAUCCAGCACACACACACA
rnacentral:lncRNA from 1 species